GACGAACGCUGGCGGCGUGCUUAACACAUGCAAGUCGAACGGAAAGGCCCUGCUUUUGUGGGGUGCUCGAGUGGCGAACGGGUGAGUAACACGUGAGUAACCUGCCCUUGACUUUGGGAUAACUUCAGGAAACUGGGGCUAAUACCGGAUAGGAGCUCCUGCUGCAUGGUGGGGGUUGGAAAGUUUCGGCGGUUGGGGAUGGACUCGCGGCUUAUCAGCUUGUUGGUGGGGUAGUGGCUUACCAAGGCUUUGACGGGUAGCCGGCCUGAGAGGGUGACCGGCCACAUUGGGACUGAGAUACGGACCAGACUCCUACGGGAGGCAGCAGUGGGGAAUAUUGCACAAUGGGAGGAAGCCUGAUGCAGAAACGCCGCGUGCGGGAUGACGGCCUUCGGGUUGUAAACCGCUUUCGCCUGUGACGAAGCGUGAGUGACGGUAAUGGGUAAAGAAGCACCGGCUAACUACGUG
rnacentral:rRNA from 1 species